rnacentral:rRNA from 1 species
UACGUAGGGUGCGAGCGUUGUCCGGAUUUAUUGGGCGUAAAGGGCUCGUAGGCGGCGUGUCGCGUCGGGAGUGAAAGCCCGCUGCUUAACGGCGGGUUGGCUUCCGGUACGGGCAUCGCUGGAGUGCGGCAGGGGAGACUGGAAUUCCUGGUGUAGGCGGUGGAAUGCGCAGAGUAUCAGGAAGAACACCCGUGGCUAAGGCGGCUCUCUAGUAACGGUACUGGACGCUGAGACGCGAAAGCCGUGGGGAGCGAACAGG